rnacentral:rRNA from 1 species
AACCUCCGCAAUGUGAGAAAUCGCGACGGGGGGAUCCCAAGUGCCAUUCUUAACGGGAUGGCUUUUCAUUAGUGUAAAGAGCUUUUGGAAUAAGAGCUGGGCAAGACCGGUGCCAGCCGCCGCGGUAACACCGGCAGCUCUAGUGGUAGCAAUUUUUAUUGGGCCUAAAGCGUCCGUAGCCGGUUUAAUAAGUCUCUGGUGAAAUCCUGCAGCUUAACUGUGGGAAUUGCUGGAGAUACUAUUAGACUUGAGAUCGGGAGAGGUUAGAGGUACUCCCAGGGUAGAGGUGAAAUUCUGUAAUCCUGGGAGGACCGCCUGUUGCGAAGGCGUCUAACUGGAACGAUUCUGACGGUGAGGGACGAAAGUUAGGGGCGCGAACCGGAUUAGAUACCCGGGUAGUCCUAACUGUAAACGAUGCGGACUUGGUGUUGGGGUGGCUUUGAGCUGCUCCAGUGCCGAAGGGAAGCUGUUAAGUCCGCCGCCUGGGAAGUACGGUCGCAAGACUGAAACUUAAGGAAUU